GAUGAAAACACGAAUCUCGCGCGUAGAAAGAUGUCAUGCAAUGUGCCAAGCGUCUAGAAACAUCGAUUGAAACCCACGAGGUGCUAAUGAUCCGAAUCUAUUUUCCCUCUACCUCUAACCCUCCCAUUUAUAAUUGCACUAACCAUAUUCAAUAUGCGACAAGCAAAGCCAAAGGGCAAAUACUUCAACUUUCUCAGGAAAAAAAUAUACAGGACUGCUAAGUUCGACAAAUAUUAGAAACAGGUUUAGAGCCAUGCAACCGACGAUGACGCAAAGCUUCGAUUCUAUUUGACAGGUUCAAAAGAAAGAAAUCACUAACGAGCGUUUGCACGCUACCGCGCGCAUAUGGGAGACGCGUUUUCACGCGCGCGCGUGUGAGAGAACGUGCUGGUUGACAGAGACUACUAAAAUUAGAUUAUUCUGGUGCUGCCGUCAUUAAGGUAUUAGCAUAAUUUGCGCGCAUGGUCGGUUUAUCACUCGCCGAUUCAAGCACGUUGUUCUGAGCAAGAGUGAGGGCAGUUUCCACUUAAAGAUUACAAUUUCAGUUUCGAAUCAAACCCAAUAUGGCCCAGCCGGGAGAUCCUGUAAAUGAUUUUAUCGAAUUCGUUCAAGUAUGGGGAGGUGUCCUCAGCAACUAUCUGGAAGCGGUCAUAAUGUACGACUCACGAAGGCGGAGUAAGUACAUAUGCUGCGUCUUAUGUCGAAAGUCUGAGAAAGUUUCCAGCAAACACUUUCUCGAAAAAUUGCAGGGUUUACGGUUCAAGUAGGAUACAAGCUUUUCGAAAGAGAAGUGAAUAGUGUGAAGCGCUAACAAAUUAUCACGAGUACCGAAGAAAUGAUAACGAUUCGGCGCCGACAAGGAGGAGAAUAUACCAUGGAAGAUGGAAGCGGAAAGGACAUCACCAUGUCUAAAACUUUUUUUGCCAACUUAUCAAAACCAAGCUUAGCGACUUGAGCAAGAAUCAGGAAUUACAGAGGAUGCUUGCCGAUCUAGGGUAUCAACUGAAUCUGUAAACUUCAAGUGUAGGCCAACCACCUACGCUUCGCGCGUAUAUAGUUAAACUUUUAAAAUACUUGUACUGCGGUAGAAACGAGACGGAACUGUAUAUAUAAUCAAACAGCCCAACGAAUAGUAAAUGAUAAAUGCGCUUCCAACACAAGCAUUCUAAGAAAAACAUCUCGUUUAAUUAAAUGCCAUGUCAUGUCUCGAAAUGCUCAGAGCCACACGCGCGCGGUGCAGGAGAUCCAAAUUGGUUCUCUCCCUACCUUCGCUCCUCCCCUUCCUAAGGUGGACUGAUUAACAAGCAUUCUUUGUUCUUGAGUCAGAUACCUCACGCUAGGAACAAGCCUCAUGGAAUUAAGUUUUUAUAACAAGCCAUUUUGCUCUUCAAUGUUGGGAAAUCUGUACUUAACGCAUUUGGCUAUUUGCUUAAAUGUGUGCAUUCUGUAAAGUUAUCAAAUCAUAGAGCCGCUCUAAAACUGUCUAAACGACAAUUUUGAUUCUAAACUGCGAUGCAAAUAAACGAAGCGCGCAUAUCACGCAACAUUGAGAUCAGUCCACAAAGACUGGCUAAAAAAGAUUCCAGAGUAAAAUGUGGCGCUCACGAAGACUUUUGUCGUUUUAUCCUGUUACACACGGCCACAGCUAGUAAAAUUUAUCAAUCGAGUAAGCCAUUCCAUUUCUCAUCGAAACUGACUGUAAAGAUACUUCACAGAAAUGCUACGAAAUGCUAACUGAACGAAACGAGGCAGUCUAAAUUCGGACAAAAACUAUCAUGAGAACUUAACACUUAAAUCAGAAGAGACAGUGAAUCAGAAUUUCACGAUCUACGUACUACCUUCCGUUUCAAGUACAACAACAGGCCUAGUCGAAACAAUUAGAUGGAACAAGACCGAGCUUAGAGCGCAGAUUAUUAAGCCAUACAUCAGUUUAGAAACAAAUAAGAGGAAACGCACCUUCAAUUGCGUCCAUUUCUCCAUAGCUCUUCUCUACUCAAACUGUAUGUCCCAAACACAAUAUUUACGAACAUUAAAAUCUCUCUGAAACAUUGUUUUUUCUACUGCGCAAUAAACAUCGCAGAACGACUGGAACUUUCCUUGCCUCUUAAAUAGCCCCAGAAAAUUUAAAGUGUGACGUUUACACUUUUAUGAGAAGCUAUUGGUCGCGCACUUUUAUUUUGUUGGGACGCACAUUCCCCAAAGCACCUAGGGCGAAACGUCAUUGGAGGAGGUCAGGCCAUAAUUUGGCAGCUUGUCAAUCAACGUCUUCAUUCACGAACAAUGAUAUGUCUUUCUUAGGCACUCGAUUAUUCUCGUGCUUGUGUGAUCAAUAAACAAAAUUACACAAUGGUGUUUCGAUACAACACACUAGAUGCUAGGAAAGCUGAGCGCUUAAUCGUUACGAAGACUUUCCUUUACAUAGAAACGUAAUGAAUCGAUCAAUGGAAGGAGUUCCAGAGGUUUCCUCGUACUUUUCUCCAUAAAGCAAAAUGGGCAACACAUUCGUAAGAAGAAAGACAGAAUCUACGAAACAGACACAUCUACCUCACGUCUUUUGGAAGAAUCGCGACAGAAAACGAAUUCACACGUAUUUCAUUUGCUUAUUUGUGUCAUACUUGGAAUGUCUUAAUGCCUUGAUGUUAUAGCGUUCCUUUUCUUUAGCAGUGCAUAACAACGUGGUAAGACACAACAAGCACAAAUAAACAAUCCAGAUCAAAAAAAAUAGUGACUCAACGUUCAGGUUCGAGGAUAAAGCUCCUCAAGAACCAUCUAAAUUCAAACUAUUUUAAUAUAAUUAAAAUUACAAUCAUAACAACUUAUCAAAUAUUAUGAUAGAUUCCCCAGUAAGACACUUGAAGCUUAAGUCCUGACCAGGCUCCUUGGACAAGACACCCUACCCUCUCCUCCCUGGUGUAUAAAUGGGAACUAGCAAAUUUUGCCGUUUGGCGUUUGAUCUAGCCAUCUAACAGAAUGCUAGAAGCUGUACUAGUGUGCUGUUUACCAGCAUCCAUCUCAGAGGAAGAACUCAUAUUGCUAGAGGUUUUAUGGUAUGAAAAAACAUACUUUAAAACCACACACAAGUUUAGCUCGUUUUGUGAGUAAUUUGCCCCAAAGACUGUUGGCUUCAUUCGAUAUUCUCCAACAAAUUGGCGUAAGUUAUACUUGUGAACGUAUAGCCAUUAAAUUGGCUACAUUCAACAUAUAAGGGUUGUUUUUCCCUGACAUUAGGCUGACUAAAAGAUGGCCACAGAUCCAUUUUGAUCACUCGGUGAUCGAGUCCUCUAGAACAUCCUAAUGAAACAGUACAACCCCGAGCAGCCAUAACGAUUGCGACUAAAUCAUGUCUGUCUGCUUCAUGUUCUCUAGAAGUUCAAAGCCAGCAGUUCAGCAAGGUAGAUACGUCAAACUGUACAAACUCGACAAAGUUUGUCCUCUUGUAAAAUGUCAAAUAAACACCACACGAAAAUAUGGCGACAAAGAUUCCAUUAGAAUAUUCACACACUAUUGUUUUAUCCAAAGUUCAAAGCUAACGCCACCUUGUACAAGAUAGUAAACAGUACGACCUGAAAAAACUGCUUUCAAUAGCUUUCAUUAGAAUUUAAUCCAGACUUGUUAAACCACCUUGUUCAGCAUAAUAAACAGAACCAUAAGAAAGUAUUCUUCGAUAGCUUUCACAUGAACGGUCACACAACGAAGUUUCGUCCACAGACUGAAAAGUUAGAACCACCUUGUACAGCAUAAUAAACAGUACCACGUGAAAUUA
rnacentral:lncRNA from 1 species